UGCGUUUUCAGCUGUCUGCAUAUCUCACAGUGCUUACUACACUGGGAUUCUGCAUUCACAGAAUGGCCCAACUCAACUUCCCUGUUCCGGAGCUGGAAGUCACUCUGAGAGAGGCGCGUCGUGUUUUGCAAUUGAUCCUGAGCCCUGAACAGUUCCAGCACUAUGAAAACAUCCUUUCCCAGCAAGCAGAGGUGCUGCAAGAAGCCCACAGCUGCUUGGCAUCUGCCGCUUCCGAACGUGAAAACUGGGUGACGGAGCAAUUCAAGAGCCGGCUGCUUUCCUGUGCUGACCCCCUUCCCACAUCUACAGCCAUUCCUGCUGUCCUGCCACCCUCGAAAUUCAAGGGGGAAGGUGCACAAGCAAGACGGGCCGCUGCUCUCCUCUGGGCUGUGGCUAAGCUCUACGGUGAGCCAUUGCUGAUUGAGGCAGAUGGGCUAAUGGAGCGGACACAGCAGUCAGAGGUGUUUGCAGCCAGUCGCUUACCCGGAAAAACUCAGGAUCAAAUAAAGGUCUAUCCUGACAGCCUUCACGCCAUUCUAAUCUGCCAGGCAGGCGUGUUUCAGGUGCAAAUCCUGGCUCGUACCCGCAUUGGGGGGCCCUUCUCCCCCUUGCCUUUCUCCAGUAUCUACAGCCA
rnacentral:lncRNA from 1 species